rnacentral:tRNA from 1 species
GGGGCAGUAGCUCAGUUGGGAGAGCGCCGCGUUCGCAAUGCGGAGGCCAGGGGUUCGAUCCCCCUCUGCUCCA